rnacentral:misc_RNA from 1 species
GAUGAAGAACGUAGCGAAAUGCGAUAAGUAAUGUGAAUUGCAGAAUUCAGUGAAUCAUCGAGUUUUUGAACGCAUAUUGCGCCCUCUGGUAUUCCGGGGGGCAUGCCUGUUCGAGCGUCAUUAAAUAACCCUCAAGCAUAGCUUGGUGUUGGGUUUUUUUACGUCCUUGACUGGGAUGGGCCUAAAAAUUAGUGGCGAUGGCUUUUUUACUUUCAAGCGUAGUAAAUCUCGUCUUGCUAAAGAGGAAAAAGAUUUUUUUUCUGCCAAAAAUUUUAACAUUUAAAGUUGACCUCGGAUCAGGUAGGAUUACCCGCUGAACUUAAGCAUAUCAAUAAGCGGAGGA